rnacentral:tRNA from 1 species
GUCCUUGUAGCUUAACACUAAAGCAUAGCACUGAAGAUGCUAAGAUGGCUGCUCUUUUCCCAAGGACA